rnacentral:rRNA from 1 species
GUGAGGAAUUUUCCGCAAUGGGCGAAAGCCUGACGGAGCAAUGCCGCGUGAAGGAUGAAGGCCUAUGGGUUGUAAACUUCUUUUCUCAGAAAAGAAUUAUGACGGUAUCUGAGGAAUAAGCAUCGGCUAACUCUGUGCCAGCAGCCGCGGUAAGACAGAGGAAGCAAGCGUUAUCCGGAAUGAUUGGGCGUAAAGCGUCUGUAGGUUGUUUAAAAAGUAUUCUGUCAAAGAUUAGGGCUUAACCCUAGAUAGGAAGAAUAAACUUUUAAGCUAGAGUUUGGUAGAGGCAGAGGGAAUUCCCGGUGGAGCGGUGAAAGGCGUAGAUAUCGGGAGGAACACCAAAGGCGAAGGCACUCUGCUGGGCCAAUACUAACACUGAGAGACGAAAGCGAGGGGAGCAAAUGGGAUUAGAUACCCGAGUAGUCC